AACGAACGCUGGCGGCAGGCUUAACACAUGCAAGUCGAACGAUGUAGCAAUACAUAGUGGCGCACGGGUGAGUAACGCGUGGGAAUGUACCAUAUAGUGGGGAAUAACUGAGGGAAACUUCAGCUAAUACCGCAUACGCCCUUCGGGGGAAAGAUUUAUCGCUAUAUGAUCAGCCCGCGUGAGAUUAGGUAGUUGGUGGGGUAAUGGCCUACCAAGCCUACGAUCUCUAGCUGGUCUGAGAGGAUGAUCAGCCACACUGGAACUGAGACACGGUCCAGACUCCUACGGGAGGCAGCAGUGGGGAAUAUUGGGCAAUGGAGGAAACUCUGACCCAGCCAUGCCGCGUGAAUGAUGAAGGCCUUAGGGUUGUAAAGUUCUUUCGCCGAUGAAGAUAAUGACGGUAGACGGAGAAGAAGCCCCGGCUAACUUCGUGCCAGCCGCCGCCGUAA
rnacentral:rRNA from 1 species